GACGAACGUUUGCGGCGUGCUUAACACAUGCAAGUCGAACGGAAAGGCCCUGCUUUUGUGGGGUGCUCGAGUGGCGAACGGGUGAGUAACACGUGAGUAACCUGCCCUUGACUUUGGGAUAACUUCAGGAAACUGGGGCUAAUACCGGAUAGGAGCUCCUGCUGCAUGGUGGGGGUUGGAAAGUUUCGGCGGUUGGGGAUGGACUCGCGGCUUAUCAGCUUGUUGGUGGGGUAGUGGCUUACCAAGGCUUUGACGGGUAGCCGGCCUGAGAGGGUGACCGGCCACAUUGGGACUGAGAUACGGCCCAGACCCCUACGGGAGGCAGCAGUGGGGAAUAUUGCACAAUGGGCGGAAGCCUGAUGCAGCAACGCCGCGUGCGGGAUGACGGCCUUCGGGUUGUAAACCGCUUUCGCCUGUGACGAAGCGUGUGUGACGGUAAUGGGUAAAGAAGCACCGGCUAACUACGUGCCAGCAGCCGCGGUGAUACGUAGGGUGCGAGCGUUGUCCGGAUUUAUUGGGCGUAAAGGGCUCGUAGGUGGUUGAUCGCGUCGGAAGUGUAAUCUUGGGGCUUAACCCUGAGCGUGCUUUCGAUACGGGUUGACUUGAGGAAGGUAGGGGAGAAUGGAAUUCCUGGUGGAGCGGUGGAAUGCGCAGAUAUCAGGAGGAACACCAGUGGCGAAGGCGGUUCUCUGGGCCUUUCCUGACGCUGAGGAGCGAAAGCGUGGGGAGCGAACAGGCUUAGAUACCCUGGUAGUCCACGCUGUAAACGGUGGGUACUAGGUGUGGGGUCCAUUCCACGGGUUCCGUGCCGUAGCUAACGCUUUAAGUACCCCGCCUGGGGAGUACGGCCGCAAGGCUAAAACUCAAAGGAAUUGACGGGGCCCCGCACAAGCGGCGGAGCAUGCGGAUUAAUUCGAUGCAACGCGUAGAACCUUACCUGGGUUUGACAUGGAUCGGGAGUGCUCAGAGAUGGGUGUGCCUCUUUUGGGGUCGGUUCACAGGUGGUGCAUGGCUGUCGUCAGCUCGUGUCGUGAGAUGUUGGGUUAAGUCCCGCAACGAGCGCAACCCUUGUUCACUGUUGCCAGCACGUUAUGGUGGGGACUCAGUGGAGACCGCCGGGGUCAACUCGGAGGAAGGUGGGGAUGACGUCAAGUCAUCAUGCCCCUUAUGUCCAGGGCUUCACGCAUGCUACAAUGGCUGGUACAGAGAGUGGCGAGCCUGUGAGGGUGAGCGAAUCUCGGAAAGCCGGUCUCAGUUCGGAUUGGGGUCUGCAACUCGACCUCAUGAAGUCGGAGUCGCUAGUAAUCGCAGAUCAGCAACGCUGCGGUGAAUACGUUCCCGGG
rnacentral:rRNA from 1 species